GACGAACGCUGGCGGCGUGCUUAACACAUGCAAGUCGAACGAUGAACCCGGAGCUUGCUCCGGCGGAUUAGUGGCGAACGGGUGAGUAACACGUGAGUAACCUGCCCUUGACUCUGGGAUAACUGCUAGAAAUGGUAGCUAAUACCGGAUACGACCCUCGGUGGCAUCACCAGGGGGUGGAAAGAAUUUCGGUCAAGGAUGGACUCGCGGCCUAUCAGCUAGUUGGUGAGGUAACGGCUCACCAAGGCGACGACGGGUAGCCGGCCUGAGAGGGUGACCGGGCACGCUGUGACUGUGACACGGCCCAGACUCCUACGGGAGGCAGCAGUGGGGUAUAGUGCACAAUGGGCGCAAGCCUGAUGCAGCAACGCCGCGUGAGAGAUGACGGCCGUCGAGUUGUAAUCAUCUUAUAGUAGGGAAGAAGCGAAAGUGACGGUACCUGCAGAAAAAGCACCGGGUAACUACGUGCCAGCCGCCGCAGUAA
rnacentral:rRNA from 1 species